rnacentral:lncRNA from 1 species
CUUUGAUACUCUAAGUUUAUUUCAAAACAGGAAGACUGGACAUCUGCCAAUUAAUUUCAUAGAAUUACCUGCAAAACGUUGAGAGGGCCGUGUGAGAUAUGUUUGAUGGUGUUACACUGCAUCGAAAAAGAACACUUCAUUAUCUCUGAAGCUAAAGUUAAGGGGAAGCACAGGCUAAAUAUGUGUGAAAUGUUUCUCAAACUGAAAUUAUCAAACCCCACAAAAUAAAGAAGUGAGAAAGUAAUGUGCAUGGGAUGCUCGUCGACUAUGAAAAAAAUCUGUUAGCUGCAAGAUGAAGGUUUCAUUGCAGCUUCUGGAGUAAAGUGAACAGAAUCAAAGUAACUGCUUUUAGAUAACCUGGAAAACAAUAAUAAGACAGAUCAAUUGUCUUCAGAACCCUUUCAGUUCUUAUGUCUAUGUGAAACCAAGUAAAAGUGAUGUAUGGUGAAACAGUACUAAAAUAAAUUAAAAUGGUUAAAUGGGUGGAAAAGUUACUUAGGAAGUACCAUAAUUUUGGCAGGCAUUCAACCAGUUUUGACUCACAAGUGAUGAACAUUUCAGAGAAAAGAAUAUGCCAUUAAGCACGUCAACUUUAGAAUAAGGCAGAAGAAGAGAUUCCUAAUUUAUACCGCUCCCUCACUUCACCGUUUUUCUGAUUCUGCUGGUGCUUUCACUCAGUCUUUACCCUGGUCCAUGACUCCAGGAAGAUGCUGUGGUCCCCGGCACAUGGAUGGGCAGCAAACCAACCCAGUCUAUGAAGGUGCUUUAGGUGGUAACAGCACAGUACAUUUACAUUUUAAUCUUCAGUAUGCAUACCGGCACUGUGUCUUGGUGUCUGUGACAAGCCCACACGAGAAGCUGUGCGCACACUUCCCCGGAGCACACCGCAAGAGGGCAAACAUCCCCUGUGGAACCGAUCCCAUCCCUCGCGGUACAAAGCCCCGCGCACAACUUAACCGCGAACCACCGCCCGUGUCCCCGUACACACCGACCUGCCACCGGACCCCGCGUCCCGCCUCCGUCCCGGCCUCCCCUCGGCGGGCCCC